rnacentral:rRNA from 1 species
GGCUCUUGGGUUGUAAACCCCUUUUCUCUGGGAAGAAAGUUGUGAAAGCAACCUGACGGUACCAGAGGAAUCAGCAUCGGCUAACUCCGUGCCAGCAGCCGCGGUAAGACGGAGGAUGCAAGCGUUAUCCGGAAUGAUUGGGCGUAAAGCGUCCGCAGGUGGCAGUUCAAGUCUGCUGUCAAAGACCGGGGCUUAACUUCGGAAAGGCAGUGGAAACUGAACAGCUAGAGUAUGGUAGGGGCAGAGGGAAUUCCUGGUGUAGCGGUGAAAUGCGUAGAGAUCAGGAAGAACAUCGGUGGCGAAGGCGCUCUGCUGGACCAUAACUGACACUCAGGGACGAAAGCUAGGGGAGCGAAAGGGAUUA